rnacentral:misc_RNA from 1 species
AUCAAUAUAUAAGAGACUUUCAGUUCCACACUUUCAAGAUACAAACUUGUACAGAAUAUUAAUGGUUCAAAAUCUGCAAGAUGGGGAAAGGUAGCAAUAAGCAGAGAAGGAUGAGAUCAAUCCAAACCCAUCUUUAUUUCUCUGGAUACAUCUACCCAAUACAAAAUGAGCCAUUAAACAAAUAUGAAAGAGAAACUGAAACUGCCUCUACAAAAUAGUUUACAAUCGCCAUACAGGAGGAAAAUCUUUUUCAGGUGCUAUUUUCCUGUAAUACAACUAUAAUGGUAUUGGUAUGAAAAGGCCAACAUUGUCACUCCCUCGAAACUCACUGCUUUGGGAACAUGCCUUGUGUUAAUGAUGAGAAAUCAUAAUCCUUUCCAGAUUGUGAUGAAUUCCCGGAUGAAACUGGAGGUCCCAAUUGAGGCUUACUAACUCCAGUCGUCACACCAUUAACAGGGGUAACCUGCCCCAUGGGAUAAAAGCUAGAUGCUGGGUAUGGUACAGAGCUUCCUGCUAGAUUUGUGAGUCCUGAGUUACCAGUCUGCAUAAGUUUCCGUGGGUCACCCUGCCCAGCUACUGGCAUCACUAAUCCAGGAAUUUGGUAUCCAACAUUUGGCCAAUUUUGAGCAGGCAAUAUACCAUUGGACCCAGGCUGUUGAAUACUUCCAGGAAAUUUUGGUUCCACACCACCUGAUUUUGCUGCAGCAGCCAUGAGAAGGGACUGUUGCUGUGCCAGCAUAGCAAGUUGCUGUUGAUGCAUUGCAAAUGGGGACACCAUAUUGGACUUCUCAAAAAGGCUCAUGAUAUCAUUUUUUACAUCUUUUUGGGGUUUCUCUGUCACUGAAGGUGCUGUUAAAGAAGGCGAAUCUUUAAAUAGAUCCUCAAUUCCAGAAGUGGAGUUGGUAUUAUUCUCUGCCACUUUAGUUGGAGCAAUUUUGUCUGUUGUUGAUGCUUCUUCAGCAGCCGCAGCUGCAGAUUGAAAUCCUGCCCAUCCAUUAUCAUCAUUGGAAGCUGCCUCAGAGCCAUUUUCACUUGGGCCAUCCACAGAUAACAUAUUGAAAAGGUCAGUAGCAUAAUCAACUUUCGAGGCCGAAGCAGCUGGAAUGGCAGUUGCAGCAUUCUUUGUUGGUUCAGCUGGCUCCACUGUAGGUUCAAUUUUCUGAAUAACCUGAUGGGGCUUUGGAUGGGCAAUCUGCUCAGGUCCCUUCGGAGGAAUGGGAAUGCUAAUUCUUUGAACAGGAAAACUGUCCUUUGAACUUUGUGGUUGAGCAUUCUUUCUUUCAUCAAACAUAUUUUCUGAACUGCUGGCACGUUGAUGCCCACUUCUUUCACUGGGUCUCUGCCAAUGCAAAGAAGACCUUUCAUCAUGGUCUCUAGGAGGGGAUUUUGGUUCUCCAUCUCUAGGGACCCAUCUCUUCUCUUCAUACUUUGCACGAAUGAAAUUCUCAAUUCCAACUCUAUCAUAAUUAGGGGGCAACUCAGCUUCCCAGUAGCAAUUUGAUUUCUCAUUCCCCAUAGAUUGGAUAAAUGCAAUUUGCUCUGGAAGCCAUGUGUCUAAAGUGGCAGAUCUUACCUUUGAUAUGUGUACUCCAAGACUUCUAUGUAUCCCUGAGCAUUGCAUGCAAAUGAAGAUUCCCAGAUUCACACUAGCCCAUCGUGGAGCUUUGCUUUUGCAGUCUGCACACUCCCUAUUCUCUGGUAAUUUAAGGAGACCUUCCAAGAUCUUUCUGUGCUUAGCAUUAAGUUCUUUAGAAACGUUGGCCUUCUCGUUCAUGUUUGGCAGAAUUUCUAUUAUCUAUCUCUUCUUUCCACAAAAAAGAAAGAAAAAGAUUUAUUAAAAGUUUCUUCAAAUACCCUUCUCCUCUUUCUUUAUCUGUCACCUCAGGACCAAAGAGAACAUUCAGAUAAAGGAAGCUGAUAAGUAGAAGAAGAAGGAGAAGAAAUGGCAAAGUGGGUAUCUUCCUCUUCGCUUUUGCUUUUGCUUGACUUUCUUAUAUCCUCUGGAGUAUGCCUUUGAUUGAAGAGCAGCGUGUAAACACACGCGCGUUGAUGGUACUUCCUGGUGGUCUCACUUUCUACGCAUUUCUUUUGUUUCGGGGCGCGUCAGGCGUGAAUGCCCUUUGAC